GCUCCAGAUGGAAUUAUAUAUGCCGACACCCAAGUGUAGGAUAAUAUACCUACACCCCCAUCCACCCACCUAUCAAAUAAAGUAAUUUUUGAAAAGAAAAAAAAUUAGAUUAUAAAUUAUCAACUUCAUCUUACUGUUUCUCUCUCAAAAAUUCCAUCCUCCCUUUUCUCUCUCCAAAAACCUUCAUCCUUCAUUUUCUCAGAAUUCUUCAUCCUCUUUAUUUUCUCUCUCUAAAAACCCUCAUGCUCUCCAUAAUCUCUCUCUAAAAACCUUCAUUUUUUUCUUUUAAGGAGCUUCAUCAUAAUCUAUUCACGUCUCCACUUACCGAAACUUCAUUGUCGACGCAAAUUCAUUGAUGAGAAUGAUGAAAUAAAAAAGUUUAAGAUGAUAAUGUAUAUAUUGAGAAAAUAUAUAUAUCAAGAAAAGCACACAAACAAGUUGAAGGGAUACAACCAUACAACAAGGAGGAUGAUUCUAUAUACCUUUUAUGUACUAAAUCAAGAGACGAUGUUCAUUUUGUAAGACACAUAUGUGAUAUGUACAUUUUUCAAGUUUAAAUU